GUGAUACAGAGAAGAUUAGCAUGGCCCCUGCGAAAGGAUGACAUGCAAAUUCGUGAAGCGUUUCCACAUUAU
rnacentral:snRNA from 1 species